rnacentral:rRNA from 1 species
AUGGCGACCGGCGCACGGGUGAGUAACACGUAUCCAACCUGCCGAUAACUCGGGGAUAGCCUUUCGAAAGAAAGAUUAAUACCCGAUGGUAUAAUUAGACCGCAUGGUCUUGUUAUUAAAGAAUUUCGGUUAUCGAUGGGGAUGCGUUCCAUUAGGCAGUUGGUGAGGUAACGGCUCACCAAACCUUCGAUGGAUAGGGGUUCUGAGAGGAAGGUCCCCCACAUUGGAACUGAGACACGGUCCAAACUCCUACGGGAGGCAGCAGUGAGGAAUAUUGGUCAAUGGGCGCAGGCCUGAACCAGCCAAGUAGCGUGAAGGAUGACUGCCCUAUGGGUUGUAAACUUCUUUUAUAUGGGAAUAAAGUUUUCCACGUGUGGAAUUUUGUAUGUACCAUAUGAAUAAGGAUCGGCUAACUCCGUGCCAGCAGCCGCGGUAAUACGGAGGAUCCGAGCGUUAUCCGGAUUUAUUGGGUUUAAAGGGAGCGUAGGUGGACAGUUAAGUCAGUUGUGAAAGUUUGCGGCUCAACCGUAAAAUUGCAGUUGAAACUGGCAGUCUUGAGUACAGUAGAGGUGGGCGGAAUUCGUGGUGUAGCGGUGAA